AACUUAAAGGAAUUGACGGGGGCCCGCACAAGCGGUGGAGCAUGUGGUUUAAUUCGAUGAUACGCGAGGAACCUUACCUGGGCUCAAAUGUAUGUUGACGUAUUCUGAAAGGGAUACUUCUUCGGACAAUAUACAAGGUGCUGCAUGGUUGUCGUCAGCUCGUGCCGUGAGGUGUCGGGUUAAGUCCCAUAACGAGCGCAACCCCUAUCAUUAGUUGCCAUCAGGUCAAGCUGGGGACUCUAAUGAAACUGCCUACGCAAGUAGUGAGGAAGGUGGGGAUGACGUCAAAUCAGCACGGCCCUUACGUCCAGGGCUACACACGUGUUACAAUGGCCGGUACAGAGGGCAGCCACCCCGCGAGGGGGCGCGAAUCCCGAAAGCCGGUCCCAGUUCGGAUCGGAGUCUGCAACCCGACUCCGUGAAGCUGGAUUCGCUAGUAAUCGCGCAUCAGCCAUGGCGCGGUGAAUACGUUCCCGGGCCUU
rnacentral:rRNA from 1 species